rnacentral:rRNA from 1 species
CCUACGGGAGGCUGCAGUGAGGAAUAUUGGUCAAUGGGCGCAGGCCUGAACCAGCCAAGUAGCGUGAAGGAUGACUGCCCUAUGGGUUGUAAACUUCUUUUAUAUGGGAAUAAAGUGGUCCACGUGUGGAUUUUUGUAUGUACCAUAUGAAUAAGGAUCGGCUAACUCCGUGCCAGCAGCCGCGGUAAUACGGAGGAUCCGAGCGUUAUCCGGAUUUAUUGGGUUUAAAGGGAGCGUAGGUGGACAGUUAAGUCAGUUGUGAAAGUUUGCGGCUCAACCGUAAAAUUGCAGUUGAUACUGGCUGUCUUGAGUACAGUAGAGGUGGGCGGAAUUCGUGGUGUAGCGGUGAAAUGCUUAGAUAUCACGAAGAACUCCGAUUGCGAAGGCAGCUCACUGGACUGCAACUGACACUGAGGCUCGAAAGUGUGGGUAUCAAACAGGCUUAGAUACCCCUGUAGUC